UCCCAUCACUGUUUGAUCAAGGUGGGGAAAAAAAUCUCAGAGCUUAUUCGAGAUUCAGGCAACCAGACGUCUGGUUCAGAGCAGGGCAGGUGGCAAUCAGAACUUACCCAAGUAGCAAUAGAGUUGAUUGAGUUUUGAUGUGAUGGAACCAACAGGAGAUUCUAAUAGUAGGUCACGGGACAUUGUUUCAUGGCCUAGUGCCGUUUCUCAUUACAUGUUGGAGUGUAUAUUGAAGCAGUACAAGAGUGGUAAGAGUGGAGAUAAUGGACUGAAAAAAGAGCAGUUCAUUGAAAUUGCCAA